rnacentral:sRNA from 1 species
UUCAUAACUUUACCACUUCCUAAUCUAGAUUUCCAUUGAUGAAACAUAGCAAAGCAGGCUUUAAACACCAAUCUAUUAAAGUCAAUAAGUAGUCUAAACAUCCAAUGUCUUGGGCUAGAAUCUACAAAUCUCUAAAAUUAGUUGGUUCAGACAUUUCAUCAAAUACUUGUUAGAUGGAGAAAGUCUGAAAUCAAUUUCAAUUGAUCAGAAAGAAAAUAGUAUUGUGAACUCCUAAAACAGAAGGGAAUCAUGCAAAUAUAAACUUAGCUAGCUAAAGAAAAGAGGAA